rnacentral:rRNA from 1 species
UACGAGGGGUGCAAGCGUUGCUCGGAAUUAUUGGGCGUAAAGGGUUGGUAGGUGGUCUCGUUUGUCUAGGGUGAAAGCCUGGGGCUUAACCUCAGAAGUGCCCUGGAAACGGCGAGACUGGAGUUCUAGAGAGGGUCGUGGAAUACCCGGUGUAGCGGUGAAAUGCGUAGAGAUCGGGUGGAACACCAGAGGCGAAGGCGGCUCUCUGGGACGGUACUGACGCUGAGACGCGAAAGCGUGGGGAGCAAACAGG